UGAUUGAUGGAAGAGAGGCAGUUUACUUUUUGAGAAGGAUUAAAGAUGUGGUAGAAGAUCCACGCCGCCUACUCCUUGAUGUUUGAAGAUUUAAGAUAUACAACCAUCCGUGGCUUUUGAUUUGACUUUUCGUGGUAUACCCAAGUGUUUGCGCAAGCUGAAAACCAGAAAAUAAACGUUUGUCAAAGUUAUUGAGGCCUUUGACAUUGCUUUUGUCCCUGAUUGUUUAAUCAAGUUGCAGCAAAUCUACAUGCAAAUAGAGAUAUGUAACAAACAAUUCAAUAUUCAUCCUUUUCCACAACUCUUGUAUGUUUUUCUCAUGAUGCCCAAGGAUUGCUUGAAUACAUUUUACCAGCUUGAUGUCUUUAUGCAUUUUGUAUGUCUUGUUGAUUUUCCUUUUUUCGAACUGUAUUGGAAUUCACUUGUGUUUCAG
rnacentral:misc_RNA from 1 species